UAAAAGUAUAUUUUUUUUAAAAGUCUUAAAUGUUCAAAUGAACACCUACAGGUUGUGGUUUUAUUCUAAACAUGUUUUCGGUGUAAUACAGAUAACAAAAUUUGCCGUUUUAAACAUUAGUGAUUGUACAAUUCAAUGACACUGGUAACAUCCCAACGUCGUGUAACCUCGGGUACGUUUCUGAAACCAGCAAACUUCAUCUUUCGUAAUAGGCGCGUGCUAAGUGCUCGGACGUCCCCACCUCUGCGUCUUGGAGGGCACGGUGGCCCGGGCAGCCAGGGCGGUGGUUGAGCUCUGGGCUCCCGAGCCAAGCUGGACGCUGCAGGGACUCGCUGGGCCGGCGAGGGGAGCUGCAGGGUAACUUUUCCAGGGAGAGCGGCUGGUUGUCCGCUAGAAGCCACCCAGCCUUUUGUUUGUUUUCCUGCCGGAGGCCGGAGUGUGACCGGCUUCCUGCCGCUCNNNNNNNNNNNNNNNNNNNNNNNNNNNNNNNNNNNNNNNNNNNNNNNNNNNNNNNNNNNNNNNNNNNNNNNCCGCCGAGCUGUUCCCCUAGGGGAGGCCCCGCCAGUGCUCUCGCCUCGCCGGCAGAAGACUGUUCUUUGAAAAUAUGUAUUGGGGAGAUAGUCACAUCCUAUUGAAUACCUCGUGCUGGUGCUGCCAUCGAAAAAUCUGGUUACACUCUGGGGAGGCCUGCAGGACCGAACCGCCUCGGCCCUGAAAUGCAUAGCCAGCCUGAGCAGGCCCACCAUGAAUAGAUACACGAUGAUCAAGCAGCUCGGGGAUGGGACCUAUGGUUCUGUCCUGCUAGGAAGAAGCAUUGAAUCUGGGGAACUGAUUGCUAUUAAAAAGUAAGUGUCGUCCUCUGUUCUGGCGAAUUCAUCUUCAACUGUACAUCAUCAAGGUAGUUUCAAGUUUAUCCCCUUCAUCCCCUGUCUUUGAGACGUCCCUAAAGGGGAGUGGAUGGGAGGUGUUUUCUUCAGUUCUCGUAUUAGAAGUCUUAAAAGACUACCAUGUUGGCCUUAUUACUUUACUACUUUACAAACAGCAUGAGUACUUUUCUCAUGUUUUCUUAUCUUGUGAAGUAAUGACAAGCAGGCUAAUAACUAUCAUUUCACAGGAAAGGAAAUGAAGCUCUGAGAAUUUAAGUGACUUAAUUCAGUCACUCAAAUGUGGGGUGCCCUGGUGAUUUGUGUCUUAUUCCCCCUGCAUACUUAAUCUUUGCAUUUGGAGUCCAGAUCUGUUGUGUUAGCUAUGUGUUGCCAUGCCACAGUCUGUUCCUACCCUUAAUAGUUUAAAACAGCACAUGGUUAUCAUCUCAGCUUCUGUGGGUCAGCACAGCUUAGCUGAGCUGUGUGUUUCAAAUUCUCUUAUGGGUGCACUCAGGUCUCACUGAAGGCUGGGCUGGGGAAUGGUCCACUUCUGAGUUUACACAUGUGAUUGCCGGCA
rnacentral:lncRNA from 1 species